rnacentral:rRNA from 1 species
CAGUCGCCGCGGUAAUACGAAGGGUGCAAGCGUUACUCGGAAUUACUGGGCGUAAAGCGUGCGUAGGCGGUUUGUUAAGUCUGUUGUGAAAUCCCCGGGCUCAACCUGGGAAUGGCAAUGGAUACUGGCAAGCUAGAGUGUGUCAGAGGAUGGUGGAAUUCCCGGUGUAGCGGUGAAAUGCGUAGAGAUCGGGAGGAACAUCAGUGGCGAAGGCGGCCAUCUGGGACAACACUGACGCUGAGCCACGAAAGCGUGGGGAGCAAACAGGAUUAGAUACCCGCGUAGUCCCUGUCUCUUAUAC